rnacentral:RNase_MRP_RNA from 1 species
UCGCAUGUCUGAAAACGUGUAAUCUAAGCUACGUACAGGGAACCUCGUUACACCAUCAUUGCUGAGGGAAAAGUCCCCGGACGUUGGACAGAGAUGUUCUGCGUUGGGCGGUGGCUUGCGUAACGUGUUUAAUGCUAAGACGUCCUGUGUGACAGAGCACAUCGCUUGCAAUCCAGAUUUGUCAAUAUCACAGAUAUUCAAGUGAAGCACACACGUGCUGCUACAGAACGGGGCUCCUUCUCAGCAUUCG